GUAACUACGGAAUUUGUACGAAAAAGCAACCCGUGACGUCAAAAACGUUUCAAAAUGUCGCUUUUAAAAAUACAAUUUUCUUUAUUAUAAUUCUUAAGUUAAAUAGAAAAAGAAAUCUUUGGUGUCGCCUUUAGAUGUGUCUUUAUUUAGCGUUUUUGGAUGUGUGUUCUUGAGGAACAAGGUGGUGGACGUCCUCAAUAAAUGGACCUCGCUCAGCAUAAGCCGCGGCGUGAGCCACGACGCUGGUAUUCUGCGGGCCCAGACGAGUGAGGCAUGGACAUCGUGUUUCAUACUUAUUUAUAAAUUUUUGUUACAUAAGUUCGUACAUAAAUAACAUAAAAAAUAAUACUUAAAUAUAUUGCAAGACAAGUAAUGUUCAUA